rnacentral:rRNA from 1 species
CACGUAGGGCGCAAGCGUUGUCCGGAAUUAUUGGGCGUAAAGAGCUCGUAGGCGGUCUGUUGCGUCUGCUGUGAAAACUCGGGGCUUAACCCCGAGCCUGCAGUGGAUACGGGCAGACUAGAGGUAGGUAGGGGAGAAUGGAAUUCCCGGUGUAGCGGUGAAAUGCGCAGAUAUCAGGAGGAACACCGGUGGCGAAGGCGGUUCUCUGGGCAUUACCUGACGCUGAGGAGCGAAAGUGUGGGGAGCGAACAGG